AGCGUACACGGUGGAUGCCCUGGCAGUCAGAGGCGAUGAAGGACGUGCUAAUCUGCGAUAAGCGUCGGUAAGGUGAUAUGAACCGUUAUAACCGGCGAUUUCCGAAUGGGGAAACCCAGUGUGUUUCGACACACUAUCAUUAACUGAAUCCAUAGGUUAAUGAGGCGAACCGGGGGAACUGAAACAUCUAAGUACCCCGAGGAAAAGAAAUCAACCGAGAUUCCCCCAGUAGCGGCGAGCGAACGGGGAGCAGCCCAGAGCCUGAAUCAGUGUGUGUGUUAGUGGAAGCGUCUGGAAAGGCGCGCGAUACAGGGUGACAGCCCCGUACACAAAAAUGCACAUGCUGUGAGCUCGAUGAGUAGGGCGGGACACGUGGUAUCCUGUCUGAAUAUGGGGGGACCAUCCUCCAAGGCUAAAUACUCCUGACUGACCGAUAGUGAACCAGUACCGUGAGGGAAAGGCGAAAAGAACCCCGGCGAGGGGAGUGAAAAAGAACCUGAAACCGUGUACGUACAAGCAGUGGGAGCCUCUUUAUGGGGUGACUGCGUACCUUUUGUAUAAUGGGUCAGCGACUUAUAUUCUGUAGCAAGGUUAACCGAAUAGGGGAGCCGAAGGGAAACCGAGUCUUAACUGGGCGUUAAGUUGCAGGGUAUAGACCCGAAACCCGGUGAUCUAGCCAUGGGCAGGUUGAAGGUUGGGUAACACUAACUGGAGGACCGAACCGACUAAUGUUGAAAAAUUAGCGGAUGACUUGUGGCUGGGGGUGAAAGGCCAAUCAAACCGGGAGAUAGCUGGUUCUCCCCGAAAGCUAUUUAGGUAGCGCCUCGUGAAUUCAUCUCCGGGGGUAGAGCACUGUUUCGGCAAGGGGGUCAUCCCGACUUACCAACCCGAUGCAAACUGCGAAUACCGGAGAAUGUUAUCACGGGAGACACACGGCGGGUGCUAACGUCCGUCGUGAAGAGGGAAACAACCCAGACCGCCAGCUAAGGUCCCAAAGUCAUGGUUAAGUGGGAAACGAUGUGGGAAGGCCCAGACAGCCAGGAUGUUGGCUUAGAAGCAGCCAUCAUUUAAAGAAAGCGUAAUAGCUCACUGGUCGAGUCGGCCUGCGCGGAAGAUGUAACGGGGCUAAACCAUGCACCGAAGCUGCGGCAGCGACGCUUAUGCGUUGUUGGGUAGGGGAGCGUUCUGUAAGCCUGUGAAGGUGUGCUGUGAGGCAUGCUGGAGGUAUCAGAAGUGCGAAUGCUGACAUAAGUAACGAUAAAGCGGGUGAAAAGCCCGCUCGCCGGAAGACCAAGGGUUCCUGUCCAACGUUAAUCGGGGCAGGGUGAGUCGACCCCUAAGGCGAGGCCGAAAGGCGUAGUCGAUGGGAAACAGGUUAAUAUUCCUGUACUUGGUGUUACUGCGAAGGGGGGACGGAGAAGGCUAUGUUGGCCGGGCGACGGUUGUCCCGGUUUAAGCGUGUAGGCUGGUUUUCCAGGCAAAUCCGGAAAAUCAAGGCUGAGGCGUGAUGACGAGGCACUACGGUGCUGAAGCAACAAAUGCCCUGCUUCCAGGAAAAGCCUCUAAGCAUCAGGUAACAUCAAAUCGUACCCCAAACCGACACAGGUGGUCAGGUAGAGAAUACCAAGGCGCUUGAGAGAACUCGGGUGAAGGAACUAGGCAAAAUGGUGCCGUAACUUCGGGAGAAGGCACGCUGAUAUGUAGGUGAAGUCCCUUGCGGAUGGAGCUGAAAUCAGUCGAAGAUACCAGCUGGCUGCAACUGUUUAUUAAAAACACAGCACUGUGCAAACACGAAAGUGGACGUAUACGGUGUGACGCCUGCCCGGUGCCGGAAGGUUAAUUGAUGGGGUCAGCGCAAGCGAAGCUCUUGAUCGAAGCCCCGGUAAACGGCGGCCGUAACUAUAACGGUCCUAAGGUAGCGAAAUUCCUUGUCGGGUAAGUUCCGACCUGCACGAAUGGCGUAAUGAUGGCCAGGCUGUCUCCACCCGAGACUCAGUGAAAUUGAACUCGCUGUGAAGAUGCAGUGUACCCGCGGCAAGACGGAAAGACCCCGUGAACCUUUACUAUAGCUUGACACUGAACAUUGAGCCUUGAUGUGUAGGAUAGGUGGGAGGCUUUGAAGUGUGGACGCCAGUCUGCAUGGAGCCGACCUUGAAAUACCACCCUUUAAUGUUUGAUGUUCUAACGUUGACCCGUAAUCCGGGUUGCGGACAGUGUCUGGUGGGUAGUUUGACUGGGGCGGUCUCCUCCUAAAGAGUAACGGAGGAGCACGAAGGUUGGCUAAUCCUGGUCGGACAUCAGGAGGUUAGUGCAAUGGCAUAAGCCAGCUUGACUGCGAGCGUGACGGCGCGAGCAGGUGCGAAAGCAGGUCAUAGUGAUCCGGUGGUUCUGAAUGGAAGGGCCAUCGCUCAACGGAUAAAAGGUACUCCGGGGAUAACAGGCUGAUACCGCCCAAGAGUUCAUAUCGACGGCGGUGUUUGGCACCUCGAUGUCGGCUCAUCACAUCCUGGGGCUGAAGUAGGUCCCAAGGGUAUGGCUGUUCGCCAUUUAAAGUGGUACGCGAGCUGGGUUUAGAACGUCGUGAGACAGUUCGGUCCCUAUCUGCCGUGGGCGCUGGAGAACUGAGGGGGGCUGCUCCUAGUACGAGAGGACCGGAGUGGACGCAUCACUGGUGUUCGGGUUGUCAUGCCAAUGGCACUGCCCGGUAGCUAAAUGCGGAAGAGAUAAGUGCUGAAAGCAUCUAAGCACGAAACUUGCCCCGAGAUGAGUUCU
rnacentral:rRNA from 1 species